rnacentral:rRNA from 1 species
UACGGAGGGCGCGAGCGUUAAUCGGAAUUACUGGGCGUAAAGCGCGCGUAGGCUGUUGUGUAAGUUGGGGGUGAAAUCCCACGGCUCAACCGUGGAACAGCCCUUGAUACUGCGCGACUUGAAUCCGGGAGAGGGUGGCGGAAUUCCAGGUGUAGGAGUGAGAUCCGUAGAUAUCUGGAGGAACAUCAGUGGCGAAGGCGGCCACCUGGACCGGUAUUGACGCUGAGGCGCGAAAGCGUGGGGAGCAAACAGG